CAAGCUUGCUGCUUYGCUGACGAGUGGCGGACGGGUGAGUAAUGUCUGGGAAACUGCCUGAUGGAGGGGGAUAACUACUGGAAACGGUAGCUAAUACCGCAUAACGUCGCAAGACCAAAGAGGGGGACCUUCGGGCCUCUUGCCAUCGGAUGUGCCCAGAUGGGAUUAGCUAGUAGGUGGGGUAACGGCUCACCUAGGCGACGAUCCCUAGCUGGUCUGAGAGGAUGACCAGCCACACUGGAACUGAGACACGGUCCAGACUCCUACGGGAGGCAGCAGUGGGGAAUAUUGCACAAUGGGCGCAAGCCUGAUGCAGCCAUGCCGCGUGUAUGAAGAAGGCCUUCGGGUUGUAAAGUACUUUCAGCGGGGAGGAAGGGAGUAAAGUUAAUACCUUUGCUCAUUGACGUUACCCGCAGAAGAAGCACCGGCUAACUCCGUGCCAGCAGCCGCGGUAAUACGGAGGGUGCAAGCGUUAAUCGGAAUUACUGGGCGUAAAGCGCACGCAGGCGGUUUGUUAAGUCAGAUGUGAAAUCCCCGGGCUCAACCUGGGAACUGCAUCUGAUA
rnacentral:rRNA from 1 species